CCUUGCUAACUCAGGAUUUGUGGAAGAUUUGGCUGUCAUGAAAGACAUCCUGCGUGAACUCCAGAGCCUGUCUCUCAAGCUGCAGAAAAGAGAAAUGUCACUCGUGGAUUCAAGUAUCGCCAUCCAACAAACCAUCAAUGUUUUGACGGCCAUGAAGAUGACUGGUGGGGGGAAAUCAACCAAGAAGGCUGAACAGUCCGUCUCAUCUGGCCUUUUUAACCCUUGUGUUAUCUUCGGGUCAUUCUGACCCAUCAGUCAUUGUGACCCACCGUCGUAUUGCGACAGAUUUACCUCAUACAAAGACAAAGUGAAGCAUUUUCUUUUAACCGUUGGGCUGUCUCAGACCCCCCACAUUGCAAAGGUUAAAAGAAAAUUAUUUUAAUUUGUUUUUGUAUUGGGUAAAAUUGGGUAAACACAACGAUGGUUCGUUAUGAACCUUUGGGUCAUGUGACCCGAAGGCAGCACGAGGGUUAAGAGCGUAGAGCUGAGUGAAGGCAGGGCGAAAAUAAACAGGUCUUGGUUUCAUGAAUCAGUGAUUGCGUCUCUAACUAAGCGAUUACCGGAGUCCAAUUUGGUCCUGAUGCUCAAAGCUCUUGACAAGCGGUUUUGGCCAGGAGAGCAGGAGGACCUGAUUUUGCAUGGCGAACCAGAAGUACACAGCCUUGCGAAAGCGCUUGGAGAACCAACCAGGGAGGCCGUGGAGCAGUUUCGAGACUACAGGGCACUGCACCGGGGAAAACAAUGGAAAGACUGUGCAUGGCAAGUAGCACUUAUCUCCCAACGUCAGCUGAGUGCGAACAAGGCUUUUCCGCAGUUAACAACACAAACAACCAGACGCACAAAAGGUUGCGCGAAGACAGCCUGUCUUCACUCCUGUUUGUGGACCUCAACGGACCUCCUCUGGACAAAUUCGACCCAGUUCCAUUUGUCAGAAGCUGGAUCAAAGCAGGACAUCGGCUCUAUUCUUCCUGGAAACCAGGACGGCAACCACAAGAAGUCGAGCCAAGGCAUCUUUGGUCUAUUCUAACUUAAGAUUCGGCCGACGAAAGUGUGCCGGCACUCCUCCUUCGCUGAAACGAGGCCUGAAGAACAGUGUUCCGUCUUUUGGUUUUGUUUUCCCGACUUUGUUUCCCCACUGUUUGGUUCUCUACCGGACCCUGUCUGCCGUGUACUUAUGCAUUAAAAAAGCAUUCACGCUC